UGCCCCGUGGUGUAAUUGGCAACACAACUGACUCUGACUCAGUCAUUCCUGGUUCGAGUCCAGGCGGGGCAA
rnacentral:tRNA from 1 species